UACAGAGGUCUCAAGCGUUGUUCGGAUUCAUUGGGCGUAAAGGGUGCGUAGGCGGCGCGGUAAGUCGGGUGUGAAAUCUCGGGGCUUAACUCCGAAACUGCAUUCGAUACUGCCGUGCUUGAGGACUGGAGAGGAGACUGGAAAUUUACGGUGUAGCGGUGAAAUGCGUAGAUAUCGUAAGGAAGACCAGUGGCGAAGGCGGGUCUCUGGACAGUUCCUGACGCUGAGGCACGAAGGUCAGGGGAGCAAAACGGG
rnacentral:rRNA from 1 species